rnacentral:rRNA from 1 species
AUCGGUAAGAGAUCAGCUUGUACAGUAUCAGUUAGUUGGUGGGGUAAUGGCUUACCAAGACUAUGACGCUUAACUGGUUUGAGAGGAUGAUCAGUCACACUGGAACUGAGACACGGUCCAGACUCCUACGGGAGGCAGCAGUGGGGAAUAUUGCACAAUGGACGAAAGUCUGAUGCAGCAACGCCGCGUGGAGGAUGACACAUUUCGGUGCGUAAACUCCUUUUAUAUGAGAAGAUAAUGACGGUAUCAUAUGAAUAAGCACCGGCUAACUCCGUGCCAGCAGCCGCGGUAAUACGGGGGGUGCAAGCGUUACUCGGAAUCACUGGGCGUAAAGAGCAUGUAGGCGGAUUGAUAAGUUUGAAGUGAAAUCCUAUAGCUUAACUAUAGAACUGCUUUGAAAACUGUUAAUCUAGAAUGUGGGAGAGGUAGAUGGAAUUUCUGGUGUAGGGGUAAAAUCCGUAGAGAUCAGAAGGAAUACCGAUUGCGAAGGCGAUCUACUGGAACACUAUUGACGCUGAGAUGCGAAAGCGUGGGGAGCAAACGGGAUUAGAUACCCCGGUAGUCCACGCCCUAAACGAUGCACACUAGUUGUUGUGAGGCUAGACCUUGCAGUAAUGCAGUUAACACAUUAAG